ensembl:lncRNA
UUGGAAGUGUUGGGACAGAGCAUGUUGAAUGGUAGUGAAGGAAAGGACACAAGGAGAGGAGUCUAUUUGGAAGUGUUGGGACAGAGCAUGUUGAAUACUUAGAAAAUGCAUUAUUCCUCGCUUCCAAGUGAUUCCACUAAAUGUCUUUCACCUUAACCGAUGUCAGAUCAGAGUUUACACCAAGGAAGGAAUUAAGGAUGCAUUUCAUUUUUAACUAUUCAAACAGGGGCCCUUUUUCAGCUUGGUUAAAACUGACCCUGGGCUGAGUUCUAUUUCAGCUGGUGUUUCCAGACACAGCCAGGGAGGUUCCUAAGGGUCAGAACAGACAGGGAGGUUCCUACAGGGUCAGAACAGACAGGGAGGUUCCUACAGGGUCAGAACAGACAGGGAGGUUCCUACAGGGUCAAAACAGACAGGGAGGUUCCUACAGGGUCAAAACAGACAGGGAGGUUCCUACAGGGUCAAAACAGACAGGGAGGUUCCUACAGGGUCAAAACAGACAGGGAGGUUCCUACAGGGUCAGAACAGACAGGGAGGUUCCUACAGGGUCAAAACAGACAGGG